rnacentral:rRNA from 1 species
UACGGGGGGGCAAGCGUUGUUCGGAAUUACUGGGCGUAAAGGGUUUGUAGGUGGCUUGUUAAGUCAGACGUGAAAUCCCUCAGCUUAACUGGGGAACUGCGUCUGAGACUGGUGAGCUUGAGUGCAGGAGAGGAACGCGGAAUUCCAGGUGUAGCGGUGAAAUGCGUAGAUAUCUGGAGGAACACCGGUGGCGAAGGCGGCGUUCUGGACUGCAACUGACACUGAUGAACGAAAGCCAGGGGAGCAAACGGG